rnacentral:lncRNA from 1 species
UUGGUUGAACAGUGGAGAACGAGGGUCCCCUCCCCCUUCCCAUUUUUGAAGAAGCAGCUUGAGGGAGCCGAUGAACUGCACGAAUCACUUCUCGCAGGAUUAGUACAUCCGAAGAAAAAAAAACCACACACGAGGUAUGUUACCAGUAGCAUUCUGUGCAGCUGUUGCUGCUACUGCUGCUGCUCCUCUCCUCGGUGCUCACCUCGGCUCCAUUCAUUCUGUAGAAAAAAUCAUAUGGAUCCUUACGAGCUCACCAGAAUGCUGUACGCAAGAGUGCAGGCUCUGGAUCCCAGGCACGUCUCAAAGAUCAUUGGAUAUCUGCUUCUGCAAGACGAGGCAGAGCAAGAUAUGCUCCGGAUGGCCCUCGGCUCGGAUGCCCUCCUCUUCUCCGUGGUGGACAAAGCAAAGCAGGAACUUGGCCUCUCUCCCAGUCCUAAUGCUCAUUUCGAUCAUCCUGCUCCAUUCUCCAGGCCUGAGCAUCCACCUUUCCACUUUGGUACCGCAUUCGAUCACCAGCUUCAAUCCACUUACCAUCUCAGAGACGUGUACCAUCCUCCCCUCGUCAAUUCCCAUGUCCCGUUCCAGAAGCAACUGCAACAACAAGCGGAGUUAAUGAAUCGGCCUUCAAUACAAGAUACAUACCAGCACCAGCCUCUCUUUGGUGCCGGAGUUUUCCCAAAUGAUCACUUCUACCCGGAAACUUUCGCGUUCCUCAACAGGAACAGAUUGAAGCAGCAGAAGCAGCAGCAGCAAAAGUCAG